rnacentral:lncRNA from 1 species
CUAACGGCGGUCCAGAAGACCAACUAAGCCCCAAACAUGACCUAGAGGGCCCAUCAGUCAUGUUUGGAAGGAGGAGUUGCCCAAGUGAUCAAGGGGUUGUCUGGGACAAAGCCUCACAACCCACCAAACUAACUUUAGAUUAGAUCGUUCAAGUUUUCGACAACAAAGGUAGGCCCUUAGCCAUUUACACUUAUUUAGGGAGUUCCACCACCCUAUAUUUGUUUGUGCAUUACGUUUAAGAGUUGUAUGAAACCCCACAUGCAUAAACCCCUGAUAUCCUUUGUAGUAUGAAAAGAUCGAAGUCUAUACUUAUCCAUGCCUAAACGGUACAAGUCGAGUGAAGAUAUUCACUCGCGAGAUGAUAUGGCUCAAAAAUGUUUUACAAAAGUUUAAUUUGAAAAGCAAUAUGAUAUGAUAUGAUGUGAUGGAAAAAUUGAGACCGGGUGGAGAUAUGGGUAUAUUAUAUUGAAAAACGACGAGCAUGGUUUGGUGGACUCCGCCCAAGUCAUUUAAGACCCCGUCCGCCGUUCGA